UCUCUAUAGCGCAAUAGGUAGCACGUUGGAUUUCUAAUCCAAAGGUCGUGGGUUCGAAUCCUAACUGGGAGAA